CCCUUAGAUGGUCUGGGCGGCACGCGCGCUACAAUGAUGCAUUCAAAAAGUCUUCUGACCUUAGAAGGUUGGGUAUUCUCCAAAGUGCAUCGUGAUGGGAAUAGUUUAUUGCAAUUUUUAAUCUUGAACGAGGAAUUCCUAGUAAGUACAGGUCAUCAACUUGUGUUGAUUACGUCCCUGCCCUUUGUACACACCGCCCGUCGCUCCUACUGAUUGAGUGUCUCGGUGAAUUCUUUGAUCUUCUGUCGAUUCAGUUCACUGAUCCGACGGUGGAAAGUUGAAUGAACUUCGUCACUUAGGGGAAGGAGAAGUCGUAACA
rnacentral:rRNA from 1 species